GAUGAAGAACGUAGCGAAAUGCGAUAACUAAUGUGAAUUGCAGAAUUCAGUGAAUCAUCGAGUCUUUGAACGCACAUUGCGCCCGCCAGUAUUCUGGCGGGCAUGCCUGUUCGAGCGUCAUUUCAACCAUCAAGCCCCCGGCUUGUGUUGGGGACCUGCGGCUGCCGCAGGCCCUGAAAACCAGUGGCGGGCUCGCUAGUCACUCCGAGCGUAGUAAUACAUCUCGCUCAGGGCGUGCUGCGGGUUCCGGCCGUUAAAAAAGCCUUAUUUACCCAAGGUUGACCUCGGAUCAGGUAGGAAGACCCGCUGAACUUAAGCAUAUCAAUAAGCGGAGGA
rnacentral:misc_RNA from 1 species